GAUGAACGCUGGCGGCAUGCCUAAGACAUGCAAGUCGAACGAGAUGGCCCAUUGAGGAUGGAGUGCUUGCACAAAAUCUGAUUUGGAAUUUCCAUCUAGUGGCGCAAGGGUGAGUAACACGUAGGAAAUCUACCUUUAAGACUGGGAUAACAAUUAGAAAUGAUUGCUAAUACCGGAUAACAUAUAUAAUGAUACGUCAAUAUAUAUUGAAAGAAGCCUUUAAAGCUUCACUUAGAGAUGAGCCUGCGGCGUAUUAGCUAGUUGGUAGGGUAAGAGCCUACCAAGGCAAUGAUGCGUAGCCGACCUGAGAGGGUGAUCGGCCACAUUGGGACUGAGACACGGCCCAA
rnacentral:rRNA from 1 species